GACGAACGCUGGCGGCGUGCCUAAUACAUGCAAGUCGAACGCAGUGGGGACGGGUGAGUAACACGUGGGUAACCUCCCAUCAGAGGGGAUAACACUUGGAAACAGGUGCUAAACCGAUACUGAUGGAUGGACCCGCGGUGCAUUAGCUAGUUGGUGAGGUAACGGCGCACCAAGGCCACGAUGCAUAGCCGACCGUAGAGCGUGAUCGGCCACGCUGGGACUGAGUGACGGCCCAGUCGCCUACGGGAGGCAGCAGUAGGGAAUCUUCGGCAAUGGACGAUAGUCUGACCGAGCAACGCCGCGUGAGUGAAGAUGUUUUUCGGAUCGUAAAACGCUGUUGUUAGAUAAGCGGUAUCUAACCAGAAAGCCACGUCUAACUACGUGCCAGCAGCCUCGGUAAUUC
rnacentral:rRNA from 1 species